rnacentral:rRNA from 1 species
GACGAACGCUGGCGGCGUGCUUAACACAUGCAAGUCGAGCGGUAAGGCCCUUUCGGGGGUACGACGAGCGGCGAACGGGUGAGUAACACGUGGGUGACCUGCCCUCAGCUCUGGGAUAAGCCUGGGAAACUGGGUCUAAUACUGGAUAUGACUCCACGGUGCAUGUCGUGGGGUGGAAAGCCUUGUGCGGCUGAGGAUGGGCCCGCGGCCUAUCAGCUUGUUGGUGGGGUGAGGCCUACCAAGGCGACGACGGGUAGCCGGCCUGAGAGGGCGACCGGCCACACUGGGACUGAGACACGGCCCAGACUCCUACGGGAGGCAGCAGUGGGGAAUCUUGCGCAAUGGGCGAAAGCCUGACGCAGCGACGCCGC